rnacentral:rRNA from 1 species
GACGAACGCUGGCGGCGUGCUUAACACAUGCAAGUCGAACGGAAAGGCCCUGCUUUUGUGGGGUGCUUGAGUGGCGAACGGGUGAGUAACACGUGAGUAACCUGCCCUUGACUUUGGGAUAACUUCAGGAAACUGGGGCUCAUACCGGAUAGGAGCUCCUGCUGCAUGGUGGGGGUUGGAAAGUUUCGGCGGUUGGGGAUGGACUCGCGGCUUAUCAGCUUGUUGGUGGGGUAGUGGCUUACCAAGGCUUUGACGGGUAGCCGGCCUGAGAGGGUGACCGGCCACAUUGGGACUGCGAUACGGCCCAGACUCCUACGGGAGGCAGCAGUGGGGAAUAUUGCACAACGGGCGGAAGCCUGAUGCAGCAACGCCGCGUGCGGGAUGACGGCCUUCGGGUUGUAAACCGCUGUCGCCUGUGACGAAGCGUGCGUGACGGUAAUGGGUAAGGAAGCACCGGCUAACUACGUG